AUAGUACUCCCUCCGUCCCAAAAAUUUUGUCUUAGAUUCGUCUAGAUACGGAUGUAUCUAAUACUAAAACGUGACUUGAUACAUCCGUAUUUAGACAAAUCUAAGACAAGAAUUUUGGGACGGAGGGAGUAUCUU
rnacentral:pre_miRNA from 1 species